CCGAGGCCCUCACUCUGCCUGUCUUGCCGUGGUCCUGGCAUCCGAACCAGGGUGAAGACACACGGCAAAUGCCGCUGCACAGACAGGCUUGUGUUCAGGGGCCGGGCUGCUGUACAAGGAAAGAACGUCCGUGUUUCCAGCCAGACGGAGGCGGAGGUCUCCUGGGGCCUGCGGGCGGCCACGGGGCCUCCCCUGGGAAGCAGCUCACACUCCUGAGAACCGCAAGCCCCACUGGGGGCAGGACAGACUCGGCCCCGAGUCGACCGUGAGCAGCACCUGGCUGGGAGACACCUCCUAGGACGGGGCGCCUGGGAGGACGGGCCGUCAAUGGCUCACCCUGUGCUUAGCACCACAGGAACCUGUGUCUGAGGGGCUGCCAAGAGCGUUCCAGGCCUGACCCCAGGGGAGGUCGGAGGAGGAGCCUGAGGGUCAGAGCGUCUGUGUGCACCCGGGACCCGCAGGGUAAGCUGGGCCCCUCAGAACGGGGCUGAGGACCGGGCCUCCCGGGCCCCGCUGUGUCCCAGGACCCCCGGUUCUCUCGGGUUCUCUCCACCACUGAAGGAAGGAGCUCCCUGCUCGCCCUCCCCGGGGGAGCCCUGAGCACACAGGCUCUAGACUUCAUUCCCCCACGGGCUGCCCACUGAGGCGAGGGCGGGGGGCGGGGGGCCUGGAGCAGUGCCGAGACUGCUUGGUUCUUUGGUGGACCUGAGACCAGGGUCCACUCCUGUAAGUCAGAGGCUGCCCCCGUGGACAGGUGGCUGGGAGAGGAGCCGCCUGCAAAGCGGGGAAGCCCCUGGGCGGCAGCAGGCCGGGGCUGCCUGAGUGCAUCCUCACUUCCCGCACGAGACGGCCUGGCGCCUCGGCUGCCUCCGCCUCCCUCCUCAAACCCGAGCCACCACCUCCCUGAAGGCAGGCCGUGAGCAG
ensembl:lncRNA